AGUUUUAAUCUGUUCAGACUAUGAGUUUUUAAUGUAAAGCAUGAAAUUGUGAAGUUUGGUGUCAUUCAUUGACCAACAACUGCUGAAAUAUGCAUCGAUGUACUGUUCAAGCUGGUGCAGAGGUGUCUGCUUGUAAUAAAGAGUAGAAUUUAAGAGAACUUAAUGCAGGAUGAGUAGAAAAAUGUUGCCUGCAAAUUGGAUUUAGAAGCAACUUGUCCUGUAGGACGAGUGACUCUUAAAAUAUUUUUAGAUUUCUGUGGUGUUUAGAUCUAUCAUCAUGAAGGAAUUAACAUACAUGUAAACUUUUUUGGAUGAUCAAGUCGAAGAUUUUUCUUCAAAAAGAGGGAGAUAUUAGAAUGUGCAAUAAACAAAGAAGAAAGUUCUGACAUCAAAAAGAGGGAGAUUUCUUUAAUUUGUAAAAAUGCACCUUAUUUUAAGAAAAAUCUUUGAAAAUAUGGCUGCAGAAAGUGGGAGUCUCCUGCUAAAAGUGGGAGUGUUCACAUGUAUGAAUUAAUAAAUCAAAUUACAUCACAGCAUGGAUUUAUUUGUUACGUGAAGUGUUCAUUUUGACAUGCACUGUUUGUACAUAUGUCAGUUGUUGUUUGUUUUCAUGACAUCUGUUAUCCUCUGUACAAGCUGGCAUUUAGAUCUAUCAUCAUGAAGGAAUUAAUGAAAGUGCUGAUGGAAAUAAGGAAUAGUUGGUUUUUCAACAAAAUGGCAUUCUCAGAUGAUAAGCUGAUAACAUUUUUUCAAUACAAAUACUGGACAACUUGUCACUUAUCAUUAUUUAUCAUCAUGAAAGCUGUGGGACAUGAGAAAAGAUUAAAUGUCAUGGUCAAAUUAUAGAUUGAUGCUCUUGCUAUUGAGCCACGUGGGAGGGUUGUAUUCUGACUGAAAUAUGGUCCUAUGUCAGCUUAGAUAAUUCCUGAUUAAAUUUUUGUGUGCAGCAGUAAUCUUCAAAACAACAAGUUUGAUACAAGAUAAAGAUGGUAGUCAGUAGAAGAUGUAUCAUGAACCAGUUGUGUUACCGUGUAUCAAGAAGCAAGGUUCACAUAUUGUUAUUACUUACAUCUGCAUGUCUUCUACUCCUGUAUAAAAGUUCAUUUGAUGCGACAAACACUGGUUCAAAAUAUAUCUUUUCAAUAUUUAAAG